UACAGAGGGUGCGAGCGUUAAUCGGAAUUACUGGGCGUAAAGCGCGCGUAGGCGGCUUUGCAAGUCGGGUGUGAAAUCCCCAGGCUUAACCUGGGAACUGCAUCCGAUACUGGAUGGCUUGAAUUCGGGAGAGGGAUGCAGAAUUCCAGGUGUAGCGGUGAAAUGCGUAGAUAUCUGGAGGAAUACCAGUGGCGCAAGCGGCGCUCUGGGUCGAGCCUGACACUGAGACGCGAAGGCAUGGGGAGCGAACGGG
rnacentral:rRNA from 1 species